GAUGAACGCUGGCGGCGUGCCUAAUACAUGCAAGUCGAGCGAACGGACGAGAAGCUUGCUUCUCUGAUGUUAGCGGCGGACGGGUGAGUAACACGUGGAUAACCUACCUAUAAGACUGGGAUAACUUCGGGAAACCGGAGCUAAUACCGGAUGAUAUUUUGAACCGCAUGGUUCAAAAGUGAAAGACGGUCUUGCUGUCACUUAUAGAUGGAUCCGCGCUGCAUUAGCUAGUUGGUAAGGUAACGGCUUACCAAGGCGACGAUGCAUAGCCGACCUGAGAGGGUGAUCGGCCACACUGGAACUGAGACACGGUCCAGACUCCUACGGGAGGCAGCAGUAGGGAAUCUUCCGCAAUGGGCGAAAGCCUGACGGAGCAACGCCGCGUGAGUGAUGAAGGUCUUCGGAUCGUAAAACUCUGUUAUUGGGGAAGAACAUAUGUGUAAGUAACUGUGCACAUCUUGACGGUACCUAAUCAGAAAGCCACGGCUAACUACGUG
rnacentral:rRNA from 1 species